rnacentral:rRNA from 1 species
AUUGAACGCUGGCGGCAGGCUUAACACAUGCAAGUCGAGCGAGCGGCGGACGGGUGAGUAAUGUCUGGUAAACUGCCUGAUGGAGGGGGAUAACUACUGGAAACGGUAGCUAAUACCGCAUACUAUCCCAUUUGCCCAGAUGGGAUUAGCUAGUGGGUGGGGUAAUGGCUCACCUAGGCGAAGAUCCCUAGCUGGUCUGAGAGGUUGACCAGCCACACGGGAACUGGGAAACGGCCCAGACUCCUACGGGAGGCAGCAGUGGGGAAUAUUGCACAAUGGGGGAAAGCCUGAUGCAGCCAUGCCGCGUGUGUGAAGAGGGCCUUCGGGUUGUAAAGCACUUUCAGCGAGGAGGCGGUACUCGCAGAAGAAGCACCGGCUAACUACGUGCCAGCAGCCGCGGUAAUUC